rnacentral:rRNA from 1 species
UACGUAGGGCGCAAGCGUUAAUCGGAAUUACUGGGCGUAAAGCGUGCGCAGGCGGUUUGGUAAGACAGAUGUGAAAUCCCCGGGCUUAACCUGGGAAUUGCAUUUGUGACUGCCCGGCUAGAGUGUGUCAGAGGGGGGUAGAAUUCCACGUGUAGCAGUGAAAUGCGUAGAUAUGUGGAGGAAUACCGAUGGCGAAGGCAGCCCCCUGGGAUAACACUGACGCUCAUGCACGAAAGCGUGGGGAGCAAACAGG